rnacentral:tRNA from 1 species
GCGCCAGUGGUUCACCGGUAGAAUGCCUGCUUCCCAUGUUGGAUUCAGCAGGCGAGCCGGGUUUGACUCUGGGCUGGCGCA